UAAAAAAGUCUUUUAAACGUUUUUUAUUUAUCUUUUUAUUUAAGUCAACUCUACCCCCAGUGUGGGGCUCCAACUCAUGACACCCUGAGUCACAUGCUCUACUGACUGAGCCAGCCCAGCAGUCUUUCUGCUCUGGUUCCUUUCCCCCAGGCUGUAAUGAAAGCACCAUUUUGCACUGAAAACAUCUCAAGAUUUGUUUCUUGACCAUUUGCUUGGUGGCCCCACGUCCUCAAACAUCUUGCUUUUUAGGAAAAUUCCUGAAAUAGCCACUUACUCAAGUCUUCCACAUUCUACAUUAAAUUUUAGUUUUGUGUUCAUAUUAUUCCUGUACAAAUACUGCUGUAGAGUUCAUUCUUUUUUGUUUUAAGUUUAUUUAAGUAAUCUCUGCACCCACCAUGGGGCUCGAAAUCACAACCUCAAGAUGAAGAAUGGCACGCUCUUCUGACUGAGCCAGCCAGGCGCCCCUGAAGACUUUAUUCUAGGCAUUUUAGGUUUUCUCACGGUCACAAAUAGCUCCUUUUUUUUCCCCCCACACUGUGCUUUCUGAUGGAGUUUUGUUUGUCUGUAAGUAAAAUACUGAUUUUCUAUAUAGUUCAUAGAUUUGUUGCACUUAACAGAUACCUAUUUAACAUUUACUUUGUGCCAGACAUGUUCUAAGUUUUUAAUUUUAAAGCUUUUUCUGUUCACUGCUGUGUCCUCAGGGCCUAAAACAGAUAAUGCCAUCUGUGCUUUUGAUAUGGUGCAUUGUUAGAGCACGCCAGAAUCCUUAAGUGCUAGACGUUGCCAGGUAGAUAAGGCAGGCCCAUGCUCUGGGGCCCUUUCCUCCCUGGACACCGACCUGGGUUCUCGAGCUCCGGUUGGGCACCUGGACCUUCAGGCAAACGAUUUGAUAUGACUUUGCCGCCAACUGGUGCAGGCUGGCCCUGGCAGGUACGCUCCGGGGACCAUGGUGAUGGACUGGCAGUGUAACGGCAGAGAGUAAACCUGGCUGGCUAGGUAGCAGGUUUCCUCAUAGCCCUCUUCCCAGCAGUUCUAGAGUUUUCACAGAGGUUUAGGGCCGCCUGGGUGGCUCAGUCAGUUAAGCGUCUGACCCUUGAUUUCGGCUGAGGUCAUGGUCUCACUGUUUGUGAGUUUGAGCCCCCACACUGGGCUCUGUGCUGACAGGGUGGAGCCUGCUUGGGAUUCUCUCUCUGCCUCUCUCUUUGCCCCUCCCCUGCUCACACGCUCUCUCUUUCUCUCUCAAAAUAAAUCAACUUAAAAAAAACCCAUAUAUUUAAAUAGCAAGUCUAGAUACUGUCGGUGAAUGUAUUUUGUCAGACACACCCUUAACUGUGUACUCACUUAACGGCUUUCUUACUUCAUCCCUGCUGGAAUUCAUAGAACUCUAAGUACGUAUUGCAUCUACUUCAAAAGGAUGGCUGCCUUCCAAGAGUAACUGAGCAAGUCCGCUUGUGAUCAGUAACCAUCCUCUGGGAAACAAAGCUGUCUCUGGCCACCUAUGCAUGUCCAUUUCACAGGGGUUUGUCGCAACUCUUGGCUUAAAACACUCUUGGAUCUUGCAACUGAAGACCAACAUGCUUUCCUCCUUUCAAACUAUGCUGGGUCCAUCCUAGUCAAAAUUUUUAUGUUCUAAUAUUUUACAGUUCUAAACGUAAAAUUUAAAAACCGUUAGGCUGCAUCGUUUGGUUGUAUAGGGGCAGAAAACUUUUCCCUUCUUCUCUUGUAGGUUCUUUGGCUGGUUUAAUAAUUAAUUGACACAAAACAGAUCAACAGAAGAAAAACAUACAACAUUUUAAAAUUAAAUCUAAUUUUGCACCCUGAAGAAUGUAAAACUCAAAGAAGUGACCAAAGCAAGCAGCUUUUAGACAAAGAAACAAUACAUUUGGGAAGAAUUGAGAAGACAAAGAAAUUUGGAUUUGGGUAGUAAAUUAGUGAGGAAAUAACAAGAUUUGUUUAUAUAGCCCUCUCUACCCUAACUUCGUUAUUUCGGUAAUUGUUGGUUCGAAACCUGGAGGGUUCCCACGUGAAAUCUGAAACUGGCCUCCAUAUUCGGAGGGCAAGGAUGGAUGGAAGCAAGAGGCAGGCCACUCCAGAUCGGUUCACCCUUGAUCUGUGUGCGCACUCUGCCAGGGAGGUGGUGUCAUGAUUACAUCUGUUGCAUGGGCGGCCGUGGUCAAGGUUCCAGAAGAGAAUCCUCAGAGCGCAAUGGAAAAAGCACUCCAUAAAUCCUCACAGCCCUUCUGUGUAGCAGGUAUCAUUUUCUUCCUGAUUCGAUGAAACAUUAAAAUUGGAGCUCUUCAGGUAGUAGAGUAAAUAUGGGACAUUUGUUUCCCCACAAUUUUAGAAUUAAAUUAUUUUGACGAGAGGAGUUACGCUGCUCAAAUGCCUAGAGAAAGAGUACAAAGAUUUAAAAGGCCUUUGAGGAUUUCUGGAGCCUCUGCUCCCCGCCCCCCCCCCAGUCCCCCUUUAAGGCAUCCGUUGUUAAAGCCGAUCUGAUAAGCAAAGUUACUUACGUAUGUGCAUAUGCACAACCACACCUCUUAAUUCCGCCCUGCUUCUUGCUAUACCCUCAUUUCCACCUCAACUCUUGGGGAGACAGCGCAUCUAUACCGGCACACAGGUAAUCUUUAAGAAUUCUUCCUUUUUAAAAACAGCGGUCAGGCUCUGUAUUUGAACUUCUCUAAUUUUUGUCGUCUUACUUGAGAUGCGCUAUAGAAAUCCUGCAGACCAGCGAUUGUAGCUUUACAGGCAUACCUCGGCGGCGGUAUUGAGGUAUCCUGACCACCCACGAUAAGCAAAUCUCGCAAUAAAAAGAGUCCGAUGUUUUUGGUUUCCCGGUGCACGUAAAAGUUACGUUUACUCUAUACUGUAGCCUAGUGAGUGUGCAGCAGUAUUCUGUCUAAAAUAAUGUACAUACCUUAAUUUAAAAAGACUUCACUGCUCAAAGUGCUAAUAACCAUCAUCUGAGCUUUCAGUGAGUUGUAACGAUUGAUCACAGAUCACCGUGACAAAUGGAACAAUAAUGAAAAAGUUUGAAAUAUUGUGAGAAUUACCAAAAUGUGACACAAAGACCCAGUGAGCAAGUGAUGUUGAAAAAAUGGCAGUAACAAACUUGUGUGAUGCAGGGUUGCCACACACUUUUAGUCGGUAAAAACCACAGCGGCAGCACACACACACACACACACUCCGCAGUAUCUGUGAUGUGCAACAAAGCGAAGUGCGGUAAAACGAGGCACGCCUGUAUUCCAUUUUGAAGUGCAGCGUUCUAACCUGUGUAUAACGUAUUGAGUGUCAGUUGAGAAUUGCGGAUUUAACAGUUCAGUUUUUCCACAAAUAUCUAAUUUCCCCGGCAGCAUUUUAUCUUCGACUUCUUUCCGACUCCGUCAAUACUCGACCCAAAUCCAUAUAGUUUGAAUUUGGUAGUUUUAUAACUCCGUUUUAGUAUCUAGGAUGAGAAAUGUCUCUCGUUGCCCCUUAAUUUCACUUUAUGAAUGAGUUCCCCAAAGCUGAGCUGCCACUAAUAGACAGGUGGCUGUUUAAAUUUGAAUUUAUUUUAAACUAAAUAAAAUUGAAUUUCACUUCCACACUUAAAAGCCACUUGUGGCUAGUGGCUGCUGUCUCGGGCAGCGCGAAUGUAGCGUGUUUUUGUCACUGCAGAAGGUGCCCUUGGCCAGCACUGCCCUCAGUGUCACAUACUUUGGGAUUUUUUUAGUAUAUUUACUGCUCUCAACUGCAAAGGAGAUAAAAAUCGGCAUCUUCAAUAACUGAGUCUUGCCAUACGGAACUGUGGGUCUAUUGAUUUGAGGUUUUGUUAAAUUUCCUCAGCAUCGUUUUGUAGCUGUUUUUUUUUUUCUUUUUUUUUUUUUUUUUCUGUAGCUUCUUGGUACUUUUAUAAUUACUGAUGUGCUCCGUUUCCAAUCUGGACAGAUUCACCCCUGCGUAGGCAACCUGACUAUCCCCGCUUAGGGGAGGGCCCGUACUGAUGCCCGAAUCUAGUGUGGACACGAUGGGCACUUCCAGCCCAGAACUCCCCGGGCUCAAGCCUGCCUCCCAGUAGUAGGACUGCCGGCACGCACCGCCCUUCUGACCUUAUCGUUACUGCUAUUAUUCUUAUUAUUAAUUGGUCCUUACUGCUCUUGGCAUUUACUGUUCAAAGAGCAGGUGUUCACUGAUUUGUAGAGAGGAGAGAAUUUGAGACCUAGAGAAAUGGAGGGACUUGGUAAAGGCACACCAUGAGCUCCCAUGUAUUUCGUUACGUGUGUUCGUUGAUACUUUCCUUGAAAAAUACGACUGUUGGACGUUCUAACUGGCGGAAUGCCGCAAAGGCUGACGAGCGGAUCCUGAGCGGUCGCCCCCAGGCUGGCCGUCCCUCCACUGCCCCUCUCCGGUGUGAUUUGGUGCCCCUGUCUGGCCUUCCAAGCAGCGCCCCGCAGCUCUUCUCCGGCCUUCCCGAGCUGGGAAACACACCCGCAAGGGCAGAUGUCCUCCUCUCUGCCCCUCGUCGCAGUGGGGGCGCCUAGUCCUGCACAUGGCUUCUGCAGCUGGCUCUCAUCUCUCAGGAGAACCCCAUGGACAUCCCUCCAGGGGCACGUUUUUAUGCCUCAUGUUUUAUUCCUAACCUUUUGCGGUUUUGUACGAAUCUCAAUAUUCGUUCUAGUUGUGAAAAAUGCUGGUGGUGUGUUGAUCGGGAUUUUGCAUUAAACCCGUAGAUUGCUUUGGGUGGUGUAGACAUGUUAACAAUACACUUCGUGCUUUACUGUGUAACUUCUGAUCCUGUGUAGAAUUUUUUUAGACUUUUCUGAUAAAAAGUUUUUGGAUUUUUUUCGACUUUUCUGAUAAAAGGUUUCUGGAUUUUGGGGGACAUUUUAGUGAGAUGUGAGGAUUAAUUUAUCCCCUGGUGCCCGAGCGUCACCCACAAACGUCCAGUUUGCCCUGUGUCAGAUGAGCUGUUGAUUCUGAUCCCAGAAUCUGCGUCUACACCCAAGCCUCCCAGGAAACAGUUUAAAUGUCUUCAUUUUACAGCAUCAUUUGCUGUGGCAAAUGGCCCUCAUUCCUCUGCUUCUGUGGGGUAAUUUCUGGAAAUUUUUCCCCGAUUGAUCGUUGCAGGUGAGCUUUAAUGUUGUCUGGUGCCAUGAUUGUUGGAAAGGCGAUGCCUUCUGUAGAAUUUCUGUUGAGCACAGUAGACCCCCGCCAGACAGGGCCCUGCACGUUCGUCCGCUGGUUUCAAACUCCCAGUGCGAGUUUUGAGGAUUUCUUCAUUCACGUUCUGGACAAAUGUCAGUUGUGUUUUACUAGAAUGUCUGCAUUCGCCUCUGCUGUUGUGAAGACCUGUCUGCAGUGCUCAGUGCUUGGGGAGUGCUCAUCUGCCUGUUUCCCCAGUGGGCCUUGCUGACCCAUCCUUGGAGUCGUUAGGGCUUUUCAUUCUAUAUCCUUGAGUUUUCAGGGGAUAAUUGUAUCUUUUAUGUGGGAUGCACUGCAAAACUUGAACCGUGACAGAAUCUGUGUCUUCACCAACAGAGGAGGGCUGUAUGGGGCCAACACGGUGCCUCGGAUUGCGGCCCAGCCCGGAGGGGUCCCCCGGCUUCCACUGCUGUCCCCCUCUCUUUGCACUUGGGCUUGUAGCUCCUGGGCGGACAUCGUAGGGGCCUUUCCGCACAGGAAUGGCACCGAGAAGGUCCCCGCCACCAGCACCCCCAGGGUUGUCCAGACACCCGUGUGAAAAAGAAUGGUCUUGAAGACUUGAUGAUGAAAUCAAGCCUCGAAGGGGCUUAUUUCAGGUAUUCCCAGCCUGGUAAGGUGGGUUCUUAGUAAGAGAGCACGGAUGUAAAGUGUUUAGUUAGACCUAGAAACAGUGCUAUGAUCACAGUGCCGGUUCCCGAUUUACAAAACUUGCCACAUUGGCUGGCUCACUUUGUCCUCAUGAUGAAAACGUACAAAGUGGUAAUACAAUACUAUUACGUGUGCACGUGGUAGAUUUAGGUAAUUCACAGCAUAUAAAUGUGUACAUUCAGCAGAGUAUGAGAUCAUCCUCGUCAGAACGCUUCCUGCAAGGUCCGAGUGUUCAGCAGACGUUGGAUAGUGCGUGUUUCUCCUAACUCCUCUCUCUUCCUUUCUUCCAGGCUCUUCCCGCCCCCCCCCCCCCCCGCCGGCUUCUCAUCUCCCUUUCCCGAAUCUCCCUCUCUUAGCUUUCUCUUCCUUCCCUCUCCUAACUUCUCUCCCAUUUCCCACCCCCCACUUCCCUCCCAAAGUCCCCCCCACCCCCCUUCCAUAUUCUGCAUUCGUAGCCUAGUGCCUCUAGUAACGUGCAGUUGUCCACAGUCAAAUCUAUACUAUUGAAGGUACACUAGGCGUGCUUUCGGGCUUUUAAGGUAAUCAUUUUAUUCUUUAUUUGAUUUCAAGAUUUUAAGCUCAUGUGAGAUGCAGUUGUUUGGAUCAGAAUGAGAAUUGCAGUCUACUUUUCCCUCCCAAUAUAGAACUUGCUCAUUAUCCUUCGAACCCUACUUUCUUCACCUUGAACUCUCUAAACUCUUGAGCCCUUAACCACACCACCCUAUUCUUUCUUUUUUUUUUUUUUAAGUUGAUGUAUGUGAGAUAGCACACAAGGACUGGGGGAAGAGGCAGAGGGAGAGAGAGAAUCCCAAGUAGGCUCUACGCUCGGUGCGGAGCAGGAUAUGGGGCUCGAUCUCGUGAUCCUGUGAUCAUGACCUCAGCCAGUCACCUCCUGAGCCACCCAGGCGCCCCCUCGCUUGCUUGUGUUCUUUCUUUUUUUUCCUAAAGUAAGCUCUACACCCGACAUGGGGCUCAAACUCCGUGACCCUGACUCACCCUGACGUCAAGCGUCACGCGCUCUACUGGCAGAGCCAGCCAGGCCCCCCCCAACUUAUUCUUACUUGUAGCAGGCGGUGCCGUUUCUUUGUUUCUUUUUCACCUCGCAUGGAGAUUUUUCGUACAAUUUCGAGUAAAUCAUGAGUUAAUUUGGGAGAAAUUAUUUAGAGUACUGACGCUCCCCACCCAGACUCAGGUGUAUACGUCAAUUUAAUUAACCCACCUUUUAGAACCUCUGUAAAUCCUUCCGGUAUAUGAAUCCUUCAUAGAGGUUCUCUACAGUCCCUGUUAAGAUUCUAACCAAGGAAUUUAUUUUCUACAUUUUUUCCUCACCCCGGUGUGUGGUUCCAUGAUCACAUUUUCAUUUGAUCAUCAUUGCUAUAUAGAGAAGUCACUGCUGUUCUUAAGUGUUAUGUGUGUAUGGGUUUUUUUUUUGGGGGGGGGCUUUCUCUCCAGUUCUCAAAACUUUGCAGUUGAUUCUCUCGCUCCUUGUGGUUUGCUAGCAAUAGAAUUUUGGAGUCUGCUGUGCCACAAGAGCCAACCCCCAAACCGUGUCUCCUGAUCGUAGGAGCUGUAGAGUAGUGUACUGGCAAAGCCAGGCAGGGUUCCCGCUUUCUGGACCAGGAUACCCUGUAGAACCUCUGCUCGGAGACCUGGCCGAGACCUGACCUAGACUCGACCGUAUCCUCAGGGAAAUAAUUCCUGGAGCUUUGAAGCUGCAGCUCAAGUACUGCUCUGAUAGCCAUGUGCAACCCAAAGUCACUAGGGGUCUCUAGGUAAAAAGAACAGAGCUUGAACUUUUGGGAUUGAAUUCAGCUAGUUAGCAUAAAACCUAAUUCCUGCUACAAAGGAAUGUAGUUUAUACUUAGGAAAGGGAGAGAGAGAGAUGGGUAGGUUACUGUUACCUAAGAAAUAACCAAAUGUUACGAUGAUUAGCCCAGAAGUUCAUGUGCUGCCUUGCAGGUGACAAGAUGACUUUCACGUAUUGUGCCUCUUUUCAUUCCAAAUGUGUGAUAGGAGUAAUAAUUUUGUUUUUGAUGGUGUUUGUGGGGCGGGACAGAGAUUUAAGAAUGAGUAUAAAGGCCCAGCCCUCUCUGACCGCUACAUCAGCAUACCCUCAAUGUUAAUUGCUAAUUAGGGUAUGCAUAAACAUCUCCAGUUUUAGAAAUGGGGAAUCUGGGGGACUUGGAGAGAGUAAGAAGUAUGUUUAAGGUCUUACAGAGAUUUGCACUGGUUUGCUUUCAAUUUUUUCUUGAUUUUUUUUCCUGUCAGUUAUAAAUUAAUUUUUGCAUAUUAAGUAUGAGAAGCAAGACACAUCAGGAAAAAAACUUCUCUUCCUGCCGUCCCCACUCAGAAUAACACUCCCGAUUUCGAUGGUAAACACUCAGGAACGUUUCCACAACUUUUUUCGUACUGAAGCAAACACAUUGUUCUCCACAGAUGUGCAUGGAUAGAUCUUUCUAUGUAUCUGAUUAUGGUUCUAUAUGUAUUUUGUGUUGCCCAUUUUUUCCUACGUAAAUGGGAUUACGGUACAUAUAUGGUUCUACAGUAAUGUUGUUCUCACCAAUACCUCAUUGACCUGCCUUGUAUCAGUAAGUUUUGGUCAUUAUAUCUUCAAAUUCAACUUUUGAGUUUCCUUGAGGCGAGGCGGGGAUAGUUGCUCCAGUUCUUAAGGAAGAGGAGAGAACAGUUGUGGGGGGACGUGGUGAGCCAUAGGUGAGCGACUCGGUUGAGGGGUGCGGAAGAUCACAGAAAGGCCUCUUUCUAAGGCAAGGGUUUUGCUUGCAUUUUAUCCUGAGUGAUGAGAAGCUAUUGAAGGAUUUUGAGUAGAAGAUAAGCUUGUUCUGACUUUAAUUUAAUUUAUUUUAAUUUUAUAUUUAAUUUUAUAUUUAAUUUUAUUUUAUAUUUUAUUUUAUUUUAAC